UUCGAAUAAAGGUAUGUUACGGCAGCUGGCAAUAGUUUGUUCCUCCCGUGGCCGUCCAGAAAGCUGGAACAAGAAGUCUCUGGUAAACAAGCCUAUCAGAGUUUAGGGAAGGGUUUUAAAAGUCCUCUGAGAACGGAGCACUCCAGGCUGGAAUGCUGUUGUUUUUAAACGCUGUAAUUAUUUUCUUUUGCUAGUCAGACGUGCGGCUUUUAUAUAAUUUACAUCUACGUUUGUUUGUUUAUUAAUUAUAUAAUAUAUGCUGUUUCCUGGAUACACGAUUAACCAUAACAUUUUUUUUAGAAGCAUAGGCUUCUAAAGAAGUUGUAGGACACAUGGUCUGGGUUUCUUGGAGUAAACUUCGCCUACAUUUUUUAAGAAUGUUAAUCUACAGCAUACUUUCCACUGUAUUUGAUGCUGGAGUGGGUGUGGAUUUAGAAUAAAAGCUGACAGAGGCUACACCUUCCUUAACCGAGGUAGCAAUGGAAUACUUCACACUUUGGAUUCAUUAAACUGGCUAAGCUGGAAUGUUGUUUUACCAACUGGCUCACAAUACAUUAAAGGGAAGUUAAGCAAAUCUAAAGAAGUGGCAGCACCAUGCAUGUAAUCAGGUACAAGGGUAAGGCAAGUACAAUGGUGGCUGGCACACAAAGAGCAUGAAUCAAACUGCAGGUGCAGUACUUAUGUCUUUUAAAUGUUGUACAGAGUGAGGUAUCUUAACUCCGUUAAUAAACACUCCUUAAUUUGCUUUGCAAUUCAAUACUACUGAUGAACUCACUGAUUCAAAAUAAUCCAAGCCCCUCCUUUCAAGAGGAUAUUUUCCGUUUGUGACACACACA